CUUGUUUUCCGUUAAAAAUUUGUUUAUAUUAAAUUGUGUUAUUUUAAGAAAUAAUAUUUUAUUUGAAUCUCUAAUUGACUUUUCUUGACCGCAUGUAUACAAUGUCGUUUCCUAGACGAUGCGGUUUGCAUUGUUGAUGAUUAUUUUGACUGACGUCGCCAUUUAUCAAAAAAAUAUUAAAUUCAGAUUAUAAUUGUGUGGAAAAUAUUUCUGGGACUGAAUAGAAGGAAUGAAGUAUUAUACAGAUUGCAAAACACGUAAUAUAUAUUUCAAGGAGUGAGAAGUAUUGUGCAGAUCAGGCAUUCAAGGUAAGUUUGGCUUCUUUUAUUUAUGUUGAUUGAAUAUUAAAUUGAUGUUAACACCAUUCAUAUAUUAUGCUAUAUAAACAAAAAAAAAAA